AAAUUUAAACCCAAAUAUGUUAAACCUUUUAAAAUUUUAUAUAAUGUAGGAAAAUAGGCGUAUUAUUUGGUUUUACUAAUAUAAUUUGAAAAAUUACACGAUAUUUUCCCAAUAUAAUUUUUUAAAUUAUAAAAGCCCAGGGACCCAAACGAUUACAAAAUUAUAUUUUACCCAAAUUUUAAAAAUAAAAAAAAUUGGAACGUGGAAAAAAUUAAAAAUAUAAAUAUUAAAAAUGGGGUUAUUUAUUAUUUAAUUAAAUAAUUUAAUUGGCCAGCAAAAUACAAUUAAUAAAUAUUUAAAAAAAAUUUGUUUGCAAAAAAUAAAAUAAAAUAAUUUUUACGGAAAUAAUCCAAAAAAACCAAACCAAAAGGAAAAUUACUAUUAUAAAAUAAAAACGCAGGGGUAAAACGCACGAAACGUAAAAAGGACCAAAAUUUUUCGAAUUUAAUUAAUAUUAAUAACGUUAAAUAUAAAAAAAAAUUUAUAUUAAAUCCCAAUUUAACCCUAAUAUUUAUUAAAUAAUUCCAAAAAAACACCAAAACGUUUUUUGGGAAAUAUACCAAUCGAAAAUUAAUUUCGUCCAACACCACCAAAUAAAAAUAAACGCGAAAAACGAAAAACUACCUGGUUAAUAAAAAAACGGCCGCCAUAUUGCGAAAUAAAGCGAGGAAAAAUAACGGGGUUUUUAUUAAAACAAAUAAAUUGCAAUUUUUCGUUAUUACGCAAAAUUAUUUGGUUAAUAACGGUCCUGGUGUAAAACGGCCGGGCAAGCGUUUUUACGGGGGCAAUCCUGCGUUUUUUAAAUUUUUGGUGCGCGUAUCCCGAAUUAAAUAUAAUAAUUUUACCAGGCCGAAAAGCAAGGGGAAUACCAAUACCAAAAAAACCAAACGGAAAAAAACUACCAAAAUUUCGAAACCGACCAGAAAUGGGAAAAUAAAUAUAAUCCCGCAUUUGGAAAAACGCAGGAAAAACCCGAAAUUCCUGGGAAAAAACAGGUGAAAAAUCCGGAACGUUACCAUUAUUAAAACCAAAAUUAUUAUUGGAAUUAAUAGGUGCAAAAUCGCCAGGGGAACGAUAAAUUUUUAUUUACGCCAUUUUUUGCUAUUUCCAAUAUAAUUAUAUUUUUUCGAAUUUUAUAUUUAUUAUUUGGAAAACGCGGUAAUAGGAAAAUAAAAACGUAAAUCGAAAAACCGUCAACGUAUAAAACGCGAUACGUUAUUAAACCGUUUGGAAAACGCAAGGGAUUAAUCGAAAAUUUUUUAAAAUAAAAACGUUGGAAUUUACCAAAUUAAAAAACGUAAUUUUUAUAAUUUUAAAAUAAUAAUUUUUAACAAUUUUUAUUUCGUUUAAAAUACGAAAAUAUUUGAUUUUAUUUUUAAACGGGCCAAUUUGGCCCAAACGUUUGCGUUUUUUAAUUUCCAAAUAUUCGGUAAAUAAUAUAAAAUCGACCAAAACCCCAAACAGUUUUUUAAUUUCGGUAGGUAGAUUUUUACCAAUAUUAAAUUGGGUAAUAAAUUCCAUAAUAUCGAAUAAAUAAAAAAAGUCCACGAAAUUACCUUUUAUAAUCGCAAUUACCUAAUAUAAAUUAAUUAAAAAAAUCGCAAAACGGUAAAAAAUAAAAAAACGCAAAAAUAACGCAAUUUACCAAUUUGCAAAUACGUAAAUUUUUUUUAUAAUAAAAA
rnacentral:sRNA from 1 species